CCCAGAGUGGUGCAAUGGUAGCAUACCUAAUUGACACAUGGGGAACCAUGCCCGUAAGGGGUCAGGGGAUUCGGGUUCGAUUCCCGGCUUUGGGA